AUGGGGUGCAGCAGGCGCGAAAACUUUACAAUGCGGGAAACCGCGAUAAGGGGACACUGAGUGCCAGCAUAUUAUGUUGGCUGUCCACAUGUAUAAAAACCAUGUGUUAGCAAGGGCCGGGCAAGACCGGUGCCAGCCGCCGCGGUAACACCGGCGGCCCGAGUGGUGAUCACUUUUAUUGGGUCUAAAGGGUCCGUAGCCGGUUUGAUCAGUCUUCUGGGAAAUCUGACAGCUCAACUGUUAGGCUUUCAGGGGAUACUGUCAGACUUGGGACCGGGAGAGGUAAGAGGUACUACAGGGGUAGGAGUGAAAUCUUGUAAUCCCUGUGGGACCACCAGUGGCGAAGGCGUCUUACCAGAACGGGUCCGACGGUGAGGGACGAAAGCUGGGGGCACGAACCGGAUUAGAUACCCGGGUAGUCCCAGCCGUAAACGAUGUUCGCUAGGUGUCAGGGACGGUGCGACCGUUUCUGGUGCCGUAGGGAAGCCGUGAAGCGAACCACCUGGGAAGUACGGCCGCAAGGCUGAAACUUAAAGGAAUUGGCGGGGGAGCAC
rnacentral:rRNA from 1 species